rnacentral:lncRNA from 1 species
CACAUGGUAGUGUAAACAUCCAGAGUGAUAGUUCUACUUGUGGGAUACACUUCAUGGGAGAACAUUUAGGAAUAGUAUGAAAGUUUGACAGAUUUUGGCACAGUAUAGUAUGUUUGUUUUUUAUAAAAAUUUUCUGUAAUUUAAAUUAUGUAAAUUUAUUAAAUGCAUUGCAGAGUUUCUCUUGUUUAUGUUUUUAAUUGAAAAAAGAGAGGUUUGAGAUAAGCAUCAUUUAGCAAGAAUCAUAUUAUUAAACAAAAAUCAUAUGGUAGAAAAGAGUCAGACAGAAAUGGAAAAAGAAGAAAAAAUGAAUAAAAAUGAGGAAUUUAGAAGGAAAAGACAAUGUAUAUAUAUAUAAAUAAAAUGAAUGGACUUUGAAAAAUAUAUGAAAAAAAAAUGAAUGGACUUUGAAAAAAAUAUGAAUGAAAAAAAAUAAUGAAAAUAAAGCUUGCAAAGAUGAAGAUGGACUGGAAGAAUGGUAACAUUUGCUGAAAGUGGAUGUAAAGAGAAAAAAUAUAUUGUAAGAUUUUCCUCACACUAAGAAAGGAGCAAAUGAUGGAAAAAGUGAAGAAUGAAACAUCCAUAAACAUAUGACAGAAUAAAAAAGGAUGAAAAUGAAAGAAUAGAUGCAUUGAAUAAGAUAUUUCAUAUGUGUUUAAUGCAUGUACAAUGGAAUACAUGAGACAUAAUUAAUACAUGCACAUCUAUCUACAUGGAAUGAAGAAAAUAUAUAUAUGUCAUAAUCCUUACCUAAAAAUGGAAUGAAUGUUAAAAAGAUAGUGCAAAUUCUUACUGUUAUGAACUAAAAAGCAGGACCUACAAACCUAUGUCUUACAGUCUUAUAUUUGCUUGAUGGAAAGAAAAGAAGAAAUAGAAACAACAAUUCUUAUUUAUAAUGGAAUGAAAGAAGAAUUAAUUUAAAAUAUUUCUUAUAUAUAUAUA